rnacentral:rRNA from 1 species
GGUUAAGUUAGAAAGGGCGCACGGUGGAUGCCUUGGCACUAGGAGCCGAAGAAGGACGGGACUAACACCGAUAUGCUUUGGGGAGCUGUACGUAAGCGUUGAUCCAGAGAUUUCCGAAUGGGGGAACCCACUAUCUUUAGUCGGAUAGUAUCCUUACGUGAAUACAUAGCGUGAGGAAGGCAGACCCAGGGAACUGAAACAUCUAAGUACCUGGAGGAAGAGAAAGAAAAAUCGAUUUCCUGAGUAGCGGCGAGCGAAACGGAAAGAGCCCAAACCAAGAAGCUUGCUUCUUGGGGUUGUAGGACACUCUAUACGGAGUUACAAAAGAAAGUUAUAAAUGAAGCGGUCUGGAAAGGCCCGCCAAAGACGGUAACAGCCCGGUAGUUGAAAUGGCUUUCCCUCCAGAGUGGAUCCUGAGUACGGCGGAACACGUGAAAUUCCGUCGGAAUCCGGGAGGACCAUCUCCCAAGGCUAAAUACUCCCUAGUGACCGAUAGUGAACCAGUACCGUGAGGGAAAGGUGAAAAGCACCCCGGAAGGGGAGUGAAACAGUUCCUGAAACCGUGUGCCUACAAGUAGUUAGAGCCCGUUAAUGGGUGAUAGCGUGCCUUUUGUAGAAUGAACCGGCGAGUUACGAUUUGUUGCAAGGUUAAGCGGAAAAAGCGGAGCCGUAGCGAAAGCGAGUCUGAAUAGGGCGCAUAAGUAACAGGUCGUAGACCCGAAACCAGGUGAUCUACCCAUGUCCAGGAUGAAGGUAAGGUAAUACUUACUGGAGGUCCGAACCCACGCACGUUGAAAAGUGCGGGGAUGAGGUGUGGGUAGCGGAGAAAUUCCAAUCGAACUUGGAGAUAGCUGGUUCUCUCCGAAAUAGCUUUAGGGCUAGCCUCGAGGUAAAGAGUCAUGGAGGUAGAGCACUGUUUGGACUAGGGGCCCUUCUCGGGUUACCGAAUUCAGAUAAACUCCGAAUGCCAUGUACUUAUACUCGGGAGUCAGACUGCGAGUGAUAAGAUCCGUAGUCGAAAGGGAAACAGCCCAGACCACCAGUUAAGGUCCCCAAAUAUAUGUUAAGUGGAAAAGGAUGUGGGGUUGCUUAGACAACCAGGAUGUUGGCUUAGAAGCAGCCACCAUUGAAAGAGUGCGUAAUAGCUCACUGGUCGAGUGACCCCGCGCCGAAAAUGUACCGGGGCUAAACAUAUUACCGAAACUGUGGAUGAACCUCUUUAGAGGUUCGUGGUAGGAGAGCGUUCUAAGGGCGGUGAAGUCAGACCGGAAGGACUGGUGGAGCGCUUAGAAGUGAGAAUGCCGGUAUGAGUAGCGAAAGAAGGGUGAGAAUCCCUUCCACCGAAUAUCUAAGGUUUCCUGAGGAAGGCUCGUCCGCUCAGGGUUAGUCGGGACCUAAGCCGAGGCCGAUAGGCGUAGGCGAUGGACAACAGGUAGAGAUUCCUGUACCAGUGCUAAUUGUUUAACCGAUGGGGUGACACAGAAGGAUAGGGAAUCGCACGAAUGGAAAUGUGCGUCCAAGCAGUGAGUGUGAGAAGUAGGCAAAUCCGCUUCUCGCNNNNNNNNNNNNNNNNNNNNNNNNNNNNNNNNNNNNNNNNNNNNNNNNNNNNNNNNNNNNNNNNNNNNNNNNNNNNNNNNNNNNNNNNNNNNNNNNCACGAAGCAUGAGCUGUGAUGGGGAAGGAAAUUAAGUACGGAAGUUCCUGAUUUCACGCUGUCAAGAAAAGCCUCUAGGAAGAGUAGUACUGCCCGUACCGCAAACCGACACAGGUAGAUGAGGAGAGAAUCCUAAGGUGAGCGAGAGAACUCUCGUUAAGGAACUCGGCAAAAUGACCCCGUAACUUCGGGAGAAGGGGUGCUCUAUUAGGGUGCAAGCCCGAGAGAGCCGCAGUGAAUAGGCCCAGGCGACUGUUUAGCAAAAACACAGGUCUCUGCAAAACCGUAAGGUGACGUAUAGGGGCUGACGCCUGCCCGGUGCUGGAAGGUUAAGAGGAGUGCUUAGCUUCGGCGAAGGUACGAAUUGAAGCCCCAGUAAACGGCGGCCGUAACUAUAACGGUCCUAAGGUAGCGAAAUUCCUUGUCGGGUAAGUUCCGACCCGCACGAAAGGCGCAACGAUCUGGGCACUGUCUCAACGAGAGACUCGGUGAAAUUAUAGUACCUGUGAAGAUGCAGGUUACCCGCGACAGGACGGAAAGACCCCGUGGAGCUUUACUGCAACCUGAUAUGGAAUGUUUGUACCGCUUGUACAGGAUAGGUAGGAGCCGAAGAGACGUGUGCGCUAGCAUACGAGGAGGCAAUGGUGGGAUACUACCCUGGCUGUAUGACCAUUCUAACCCGCCACGCUUAGCGCGUGGGGAGACAGUGUCAGGUGGGCAGUUUGACUGGGGCGGUCGCCUCCUAAAGAGUAACGGAGGCGCCCAAAGGUUCCCUCAGAAUGGAUGGAAAUCAUUCGCAGAGUGUAAAGGCACAAGGGAGCUUGACUGCGAGACUGACAAGUCGAGCAGGGACGAAAGUCGGGCUUAGUGAUCCGGUGGUUCCGCAUGGAAGGGCCAUCGCUCAACGGAUAAAAGCUACCCCGGGGAUAACAGGCUUAUCUCCCCCAAGAGUCCACAUCGACGGGGAGGUUUGGCACCUCGAUGUCGGCUCGUCGCAUCCUGGGGCUGUAGUCGGUCCCAAGGGUUGGGCUGUUCGCCCAUUAAAGCGGCACGCGAGCUGGGUUCAGAACGUCGUGAGACAGUUCGGUCCCUAUCCGUCGCGGGCGCAGGAAAUUUGAGAGGAGCUGUCCUUAGUACGAGAGGACCGGGAUGGACACACCGCUGGUGUACCAGUUGUUCCGCCAGGAGCAUCGCUGGGUAGCUAUGUGUGGCAGGGAUAAACGCUGAAAGCAUCUAAGCGUGAAGCCCCCCUCAAGAUGAGAUUUCCCAUUUCUUCGGAAAGUAAGAUCCCUGAAAGAUGAUCAGGUAGAUAGGUUUGGAGUGGAAGUGUAGCGAUACAUGGAGCGGACAAAUACUAAUCGAUCGAGGACUUAACCAA